AGACAGUUGAGGGUUGAAAUUCACCAUUUCAUUGAAGGUGGACGGUGCAGAGUACUCAAGUACUGCCACCACAGGCACAUUAAACUAGACCUAUUGGAGCAUAAAUAUGUUGAAUGGAGAGUUGAGACACAAAAUAUCUUUAAUCUCUAUCCCUCUAAUUUUCCUCUUCAUUUAUGAUCUCUACCAAUAAGUUAAGUAACAAAACCUUCUGCCGCACAUCAAUCUAUCAUUUCAAUUUUCAAUCCAAUUUUCAUCUCCUUUCCUCUACCACUAUGUCGUCUUCAUUUAGGAAAUGAGGAAUUUUUCUGGUAAUACAUCUGCACUUUUUCAUUUGGGAUCCUGCUAUGCCCUGUUUUGUUGACUUGCUGCUGCAGAUUUUGUUAGGCCAUUUUUCCGCUUCUGGUGUGAUUCUGUUGCCAAUUCAACUUACAUUUUAAUGGUGUUACAGAAGUGAAUUUUGACGCCCGUGUUGGUCCGAGACCGAUAGAGUUUGUGUUUUGCUCUUUGAAACAUUAUAAUUGUAUCGAGCUUACCUUUAUUUAAAACCUUAUAUGAUUUGUUGUUUUUCACUUCUUUGUCUAUAGUACAUCAUGUGUUGAUGAUAUUUGUUGUUGUAUCUUGCUUGACAUUGUGUAUUACAUGUUAAUUAUUUAACAUUUGAUUCUGUUUUUGAAAGGAACAUAUGAAUCUAUUAGAAUUUUUCAUCAUGUGUUGCUGAUUAUCUUGCAGAAACAUAUGAUUUGUGUUACUUAUUGCUGCAAAUGUGCUUACUUUUGGAAUCACAUCGUGGCUUACUUUCUAUCACUGUACUUCGUUUUUCAUAGAAGGAAUUAUACAAGACAUAGGAAGUGAUUGUGACAUGAAUUGUAGCUAACAAACAUGUAGAUAGAUUUUUUGAAUUUGACUAGGUGUAUGCUUAUUUGUACCUCUUUUCAACUAUUUUUUUGAAUCUAUCUUACUAUGAUAUGGUCAUUUUCAAGUAACAUUAUAUUGCAAUAUUUGAUUAACACCUUUAGCUCUCUUUCAAGCAGGUUUGGUUUGUGGUUUCUAGAUUACAUCAGUAUAAGUGUUAUUGUGAUUUUUGGCUUAUGUUUUAUAAGGAUGGUACUUUGGUAGGAAUAGUUAUAGGUUUUUAGUGUCAUUUGAAGUUUGAAUUCUGCUUGAAAAUUGUCGGUCUUACUCUUGAAAAAUAGGCAUAGGUGUAAUGUGAUUCCAUAAACUUUUGUUGAUUGAAUGGAAAGUUGAGAUUCGAACCAAUUUGACAAAGCCUGUCAAUGAUGUGGACUCUGUAGUUACAAUUAGUGGUGAUGCAACUCUUCAGGUACUUACUCUACUAUACUCUAAUCUACUUUUUUUUAUUUUUUUUUAUUUUGUUCGUGUAGAUAUUAUCAUUUUAAAGAUUGAAAUUUUAUGCUGAAAACUAAUUGAAAUCAAAGUCUACAAAUUUAUGAGCAGUAGCUAGCAUAUUCUUUGAAUUCAAUAUAUUUAGAACCCUAUCUUUAUUAAUAGUAAAGCACAAAGAGGUUUCAGAAGGACAUUACACAUAAUAGAACCUCGGUCGAUGCUUCUACAUGACUAUUGGAAUUGAAAGUUAUAUAAAACAAAACUUCAUUUCAUAUCUUUACUUUACGACAUUUACUAAAUUGAGGACUGACUUAAUAGAGUUUAUUCAAUUUGUAAGAAGUGCGACUGAUACGACGUUGUUAAGCAAAACAAAUCUGCUAAAUGACAUUUGAUAUAUUGCUUCUUAAAUGACUUAAUAUCUAACUUGCAUCCUUUACUGUUGUAUAUCAAAUUCAUAAACUGCAUUUCUUUCCAUUUUUAAUGCUUGUUGAGUGAUAAAAAUUAGUUUACAAAACAACAUAAUGAGACGAUUGUGUAUGCUACCUAAGUUUUACUAUAAAAGCAGUUGAACUUCACUUCCAAAACUCACUUUCAUCCAUCCAACUUAAACAAUCUACAUACACAAUCAACUACCAUGGCAAUCAACAAUGAAGAUGUUUCAGCUACUUUGCUAAACAAGGAAGUCUUUGUAUAUUUUUUCAUAUUUGUUAAACUAGAAGUUUUUAAUAGUUAGUCUUUGUAUAUUUACUCAUUUAUGUUUAUUUUCUUUCAACACAAACUUUUUCCUGGCGUGGCUUUUGUCAAAUUGCAUUCUAUUAUUUGGGACAUAGUUGGAAUUGUCAUUUAGAUUUUGGUUAAGAGAUGGAUAUGUCGUGCAGAAUUUCUGGAGAUUGGAGAAAUCUUUGCAAGACGCUUGGAUUAUCUCAAGGCAUAACAAUUAAGUUGGGUGUCACUUAUGCAUCAAGACAUUAAGGUUUUGGUGGCUGAUUUAUGUUGUUAUUGUACUUUGAGGUGUAAGGUUUUGCCAUCUAAAUUUUGCGACUUUCUACAGCAGAAUUUCUCUGAGAUUUUAUCAUGUAACAAUGAUAAUGGGUACUACAAAGACUUUGAAGUCAUUCUUCAGAACGAUGAUAAAUAUACUACUCUUAUAGGGCUUAAUUGGGAAUUGGGAUCUUUUUUGUCAAUCUAAUCACUUUCAACCAGGAAUCAUUCACUUCAAGUUUAGCAAAAUAACCCUCACGCUGUGUGCUAUGUAUAUCAGCUCUCAACAUCUGAAUCUACCCUCUAAUCAACAACAACAAUCAAAACAACUAUCAGUAAUAUGUACUUCGAGUUUAAUAAAUAUUAAUAAAAUGUACUUCGGUCGUUGGUUUCCUAUUA